CCUCAGUCUUUUCUCUUCACCUGAACUUCUGCUGGAGGUCACAUCUCGUUGAAGCUGCCAGAAGAUUAUAUAAACCUUUUGGUAUGGCACAUCUAUGGUCAGUGUCACAAGUUUGUGAAUGGCUUGAAGAAGCUGGACUAGGGCAUGCCAAGGACACUUUCAUUGGUAGGUCCAGCUGAACGGACAUGAUUUUUCAGUGUACAUUUUGUCCAAUCAAAAAACCAACACACAACAAACUUUUAAAGCACCUGCAGCUUUUUCAUGAAAACCUAGAGGCGUUUUCAGUUACAUGUGGACUUGAUGGCUGCCCACUUACAUUUUCAAGAGUGAAAUCAUUACAAAACCACAUCCGCCAAAAGCACAGAAACUGUCAAGGAUUUGUGGAAGCAACAGAGACUCCUCCCAGUGGUGGAAUUGAACAGACUUCUCAAGUAUCUAUAUCAGAACUUUUAAAUGCACUAACUGAAUCACUUCAAAGACGGUUGGCAACAUUUGCUUUGUAUCUUCAGGAAAAGUAUGUUCUUCAAAAAUGUGUACAAACAGAUGUUAUUUAUGGGUUUGAAACACUGCUAAUCUUUUUCCAAAGUUGUUUCACAGAAAUAUUUGAAAAGUUCUUAGAAGAACGUGGAAUUGAUGUUAGUACUUUGCCCCUGUCUAUGUUCAGUGAGGAUCGUUUAUUUGAACAAUGUUUUAGCGCAGUGAAUACUCCCUACAAACUAGAAAAAUACUGCAUUGAAAAUCUAAAUUUGAUUGAAUCUGUUGAGUGCACUCUUAAUAUUCAAGAAGAUGGUAAAAAGGAUACUUAUCAGUAUACUCCCUUGUUAGAUACACUAAAAUUAAUACUAGGAGAGCAGUCCACUCUAGAGCACAUAAUCAAUCGGACAGUAGUUGAUGAUGGAUGUUUGGAAGAUUUCUGUGAUGGGACUAUAUUUAAGGGUUCUAAUUGGGAUAGUGGGGAUUUUUUUUUGAGACUUCACUUUUAUAAUGAUGAAUUUGAGAUUGUUAACCCAUUAGGAUCUAGAAAAACAGUGCAUAAAGUUUCUGCUUUUUACUUCACUCUGGGGAACAUUCACCCAAAAUACAGGAGUAAUUUAAAGCAUAUCCAUCUUUCAAUCCUUGUUUACCAUAGCUUGUUCAAACAGUAUGGGGCAUCCAGAAUUUUGGAGCCCCUUAUUUCUGAUGUACAGAAGUUACAAACUGAUGGCAUUGAAGUGAUAUAUGAGGGAAGACCCCUUCGCUUUAAAGGCACAAUAGUUACAGUAUCAGCAGACAACCUUUCUGCACACUCCCUUGCAGGUUUUCGUGGUUCCUUUAGCAGUGGGCGUGUUUGCAGGUAUUGUUUAUGUCACUAUAAGGACCUAUCAGAAAAAACAAAUGAAGAUGAAUGUGUUGUGCGGACACCAGAUAUACACAGUUACCACCUACAGUGUGUAGCUGAGGACCCCAAUACAAGCUCAUUAUAUGGAGUGACCGGUCCGUGUGCUUUUAGUGAGAUAGCAAACUUCAGUGUAACUAAUGCAUUUCCACCAGAUGUUAUGCACGACUUCCUUGAAGGAGUUGUUCCUCAUGUCAUAAAAUUACUUGUAAGAAGUCUUCACAGAGAAAAAAUUGUUGGUCUGCAAAAUGUUUCUGUUGCUCUGGCAGGCUUCACUUUUGGACGGAAUGAUUCUUCUAGUAAGCCUGCUCCAAUUUCUGAAAGACUUGUUUUAGAUGGUAGACUUGCAGGGAAAGCAGUUGAAAAGUGGACAUUAUUCAGGACACUUCCCUUUAUUAUUGGAGACAAAAUUCCGAAAGACAACAAGGAAUGGCAACUUUUCCUGUGCCUUAGGGAAAUUGGAGAAAUAAUAUUGGCACCUACUAUAAGUGCUAGUUGGAUCAGUUAUUUGGAGUUUUUAAUUUCCUCCUUUUUGGCAGAUUUCAGGAGGUUGUAUCCUGAUAAAAUCACUCCAAAAGUACAUUUCUUGCUUCAUUACCCUCGUCUGAUUCAGGAGUUUGGUCCACCAAGAGCACAGUGGUGCAUGCGAUACGAGGCAAAGCACCUCUACUUCAAAAAAGUUUCUGAAAGAAACUGUAAUUUCAAGAAUAUCUGUCUCUCUCUCGCUACAAGAAACCAGUUCAGGCAGUGUUGGGACUGGCUGGGCAUCAAAUUUGAGAGAGAGAAAAGCUCAGCAGUCUCGCCUUUGAAGUAUCAGGAACUUGAUAUUGCUGUUCAGGAAAAGCUCAGACUUGCUCAUGUGUCUGAAGAGGAGACAUUCUGGACCUGCUCAGAGGUCGAUAUAGACACUGUGAAAUACUCUGUUGGUGACUGUUUCAUCUUGGAUUUGUACCAGGAUGAAAUUCCUCUGUUUGUAAAGGUGACACAGAUUGUGAACGCAAGAGCAAGUUGGUUUAUUGUUGCUGAAUUCCUCACAACCUUGGCCUUUGACACCCAUCUUCAUGCUUAUCAAGUGAGCCCAACAGCAAAUCAGAUUGUGUUUAAGCCUGGUGAAGAGUUGGACUACCACAGGCUGGACUGCUAUGAACUAUCUGGCAGACAGUUUAUUACUCUUUUCCAUCGGCCGUACAAAGCAAUUGCCUAGUGGUGAGAAAAUGAAGUUGAUGACCUUACACUCACAAAAAUGACAGAACGUAUGAGUGAGAGAAUGUUUCCGAAGAUGAAGGACCAGGUUCAGUUCAUGGCUGCUCUAGAUAAAUUGAAGUUGGGAGACAGCCAUGAUGCUGAAGUGAGAGCGGAGACGCCAGUGAUGCCAGUUUCACCAGUUUCCUCUGAUGUCAUCCUCCCACCUUUUCUCAAUAGUGCUUUAAGUUCACAGGAUCCACAGUUCAAGUCUCAGGGGAAGAACAAACUGAAAAAUGCCCUCAUUCAGGCUUUGUUUGACCACCUCAGUCAAAAAACCAUGUAUCCCUCUCACACUCAAUAUGUUCUUACAUUGAGAUCAACCUUGAUUCGCUUCCCUUUUCUCAGGGAGAAAUAUGGCUCUGGAUAUGAUGCCUUGCUCGAAUCACUUAAAACAAAUUUAAGAAAGAAAGAAGACCACUAGUGAACUUGGAAGAAGUUUUCAAAAUGAAAGAGAAGUACUCGGCAUGCCAUUCAGGACGAAAGCGGGGGGUUGAGACUGAGGAGGUUUGCCUGCAGAAGAGGAGCUGCGAACAGGAGGUUUCCUUGGAUUCUGCAGAAGACUUGAGAUCCAUCCUUCAGCACAUUGAGGUUUUGCAGCAGGAGCACCAUAAGGCGAGGCCAAGUUUUGAUAUAAUUCUACAGCGGCUCGACAGAACCAAGUCCUAUCGGCAGCACUACAUUGAAAACCACACCACUGCUGAAGUCCUUAAAGAAUUUCCCUGUCUCAUGAGACCAAAUAUUCUCCUUGGAGAGAUGAAAAGAAUCUACCAGAUCGACGCUGAUAAAACCAUCCUAACAAAAAUGGGAGAACUUGCGCCAAAGUUGUUAGAAAAGGCACCUAAAGGUACUUUAAAAGACACCUGCCUGCAGACACUGCAGUCAUGUGAGGAUGAACAAGAAAGAAAAGCUCAAAUGGUCAAUGCAGCCAUUGUCUUGCUGCCAUCAUUUUUCAAAGAAAAUCCUGCAUUCCUUUUUGUCAACGACCAGGAACCCAUUUCUCCCACACCCACCAUCGUGAUGACCGGCUCCAACCCCCCCUGUCCAGCACGGAAGUAGCUGUGAAGAUGGAUGGUUGUAACAUGAUUUUAGAUGAUGGUAGCAUUGAUGUCAGUUUGGCCUUAGCUGUGUCUUUUUCUCUUUUCCAUGUCUAUCAAGUUCAUUAUCCCAAACCUCUCCGAAAGACACUGGCCUUUCUUGAGGCCUUUGUCUUUCAGAUGAAAAGUGCUGUUCCCUUCACAGAGUGUGUGUGUGUGUGUGUGUGUGUGUGUGUGUGUGUGUGUGAGAGAGAGAGAGAUUGCACCUGUGUGUCUAAAUGAUCAGUUAAUUUAAUAACAACACAGGCAUUGCUAUUUUGAUGCGUGUGUAUGUGUGUUUCUGUCUAAAUGAUCAGUUAAUUUAAUAACAACAAGACAUUGCUAUUGUGUUUGUGAGAGAGUGAUCGCACGUGUGUGUGUCUAAUUGAUCGAUUAAUUGAAUAACAACACAGACAUUGCUAUUGUGUGUGUGUGAUCACACCUUGCUUUUGCUAUUGCUAUUUUGAUUGCUGUUUUAAUCAGUUGAUUAUAACGCUUUAUAUGUGUAUGUGUGAGCGCAAUGGUAUAGUUGAUGAUCACUAAUGAACUUGUAAACAUAAAGAUUUUUAAUAAACAUAAAA